CCCUUAGAGUUUGAUCCUGGCUCAGCCUGAACGCUGGCGGCGUGGUUAAGACAUGCAAGUCGCACGGGCGUAGCAAUACGUCAGUGGCGAACGGGUGAGUAAUGAAUCGCUAAUGUACCCCGGACUCUGGGAUAGCUGCCCGAAAGGGCAGGUAAUACCAGAUGACAUAACCGCCAGGCAUCUGGUGGUUCUCAAAGGUCCGCCGGUCUGGGCGCAGGCGAUUUCGUAUCAGCUAGUUGGUGCGGGUAACGGCCCACCAAGGCGACGACGCGUAGCCGGACUGAGAGGUUGGCCGGCCACAUCGGGACUGAGACACUGCCCGGACUCCUACGGGGGGCUGCAGUAACGAAUCUUCCCCAAUGCACGCAAGUGUGAGGGAGCGACGCCGCGUGUGGGACGAAGUCCUUCGGGAUGUAAACCACUGUCAGGGGAUACCAAGUUCUGAGGAUCCCCAGAGGAAGAGGCGGCUAACUCUGUGCCAGCAGCCGCGGUAAGACAGAGGCCUCGAGCGUUAGGCGGAAUCACUGGGCUUAAAGCGUGUGUAGGCGGACGCCUAAGUACCUUGUGAAAUCCCACGGCUCACCCGUGGAACCGCUGGGUAUACUGGGCGUCUUGGGCCAUUCAGGGGCGACUGGAACAAGCGGUGGAGCGGUGAAAUGCGUAGAUAUCGCUUGGAACGCC
rnacentral:rRNA from 1 species